CAGAAAGCAGCGAAGUCGCGAGGCGGAGCAAAUCUCAAAAACCGGUCCCAGUUCGGACUGCAGGCUGCAACCCGCCUGCACGAAGCCGGAGUUGCUAGUAAUCGCGAAUCAGAAUGUCGCGGUGAAUGCGUUCCCGGGUCUUGUACACACCGCCCGUCACACCAUGGAAGUUGGGGGGUGCCCAAAGCCGGCAAGCAAAUAUGCUGUCUAAGGCAAAACCAAUGACUGGGGUGAAGUCGUAACAAGGUACC
rnacentral:rRNA from 1 species